UACGUAGGUGACAAGCGUUGUCCGGAUUUAAUGGGCGUAAAGAGCGCGCAGGCGGUCGAUCAAGUCGAGUGUGAAAGCCCCCGGCUCAACUGGGGAGGGUCAUUCGAAACUGGUCGACUCGAAGGCAGGAGAGGGUAGUGGAAUUCCCGGUGUAGUGGUGAAAUGCGUAGAUAUCGGGAGGAACACCAGUGGCGAAGGCGACUACCUGGCCUGUUCUUGACGCUGAGGAGCGAAAGCUAGGGGAGCAAACGGG
rnacentral:rRNA from 1 species